AUGGUAAAUAUGAGGAAUUUUCUCAACUGUUUGGAUUUUAUCAUCUUUUAGGAGACAACGUAGCAACAGCACCACCAAGAACAGCUAAAUUACCAACAACAACAACCAAAAGAACAACUAAAGCAAACAAAGCAACAAUCAAACCAACAACAACAACAACAACCCCAACAGCAGCAGAAACAAGCCUAAAUGCAGGUUGUUGGAUCAGGUUCAUCUUUGUUCUUGUGGGUGUAGCAGCGCUCUCAAUGAUUGUUGUGUCAGUCAACAUUUGGACCAGAACAAAAGGUUCCAAAACACAUCGUGGCAAGAAGCAGCACAGUGAUGAAGAUGAUGAUGUGGUGACGUAAGAAAAUGCUGAAGAUGUUUCUGCUCCUGUUAGAUUCCACAGAUCAACAAAUCAGCUGUGAAAAUAUUUCUUAUCUGCAGUUAUUUCAAACACAGCAGCUGGAUUUAAAGAUGAUUGAACAGGAAAUGAGAACAGAGAAAAACAGAAUCUGCUUUACUGCUGCAACAGGACUAGAAGUCUGUUUUAUCUGAUCAGUAAAGACAAUAAAACAACAAACUAUCAACACAAUUAUUGAAGUAUUUUCUUCUUUUGUUUCAAUAUUUUGCUAGUCUUGUGUUAUUUUUAUCACUAAUAUAACUCACUGUAAUUUACUUUGCUGUUGUUUUGUUGUUGUUGCUUCUCAGGAGUUUUUUUGUGUUUAAAUGUUUUUUUCUUUAUUUAAUAUAUUUGCUUUACUGUCUUCAAUUGAUUUUAAUGUUAUAUUUAGAGCUGUUUUAAGAUUUUGCUUGUUUUAAUCUCAUUUUCAUUACUUACAAAUCUCAUUGUAAUUUACUU